CUAGAUGAUGCAACCAAUGCCAUUCGAAAGCACCAGAAUUCUCUAAAGCCACUGCCAUUUAACUAUGUGGAGGAGGGGGGGGGGGGGGAGAGAAGAUAUGCAGAAUGACUAAGUUUAUGUAAGUCUUGUCUUUCACAUAGCCUAGUUCUAUCACAACACAUUUCAGCAUAAGGUUUGCUACAUAUACAUGAACUAAGUCAUCCUCUGUAUUUCAUAUUGCAAACUAUUUAUUUAGCAAUUCAGUGAAGUAAAUGGGUCAAUUUUUGAGAUAAUAGAUCUCGUUACUUAUAAUAGACAAACAUAGUUUGACAUGUGUUCAAAACAUAGAUAAGUUGCCAAUAUUAACUUUUCAAAAAAAAGCCUAUUAUUAGGUUAGUUUUGUUUAGUCCUACCCCUUUUCUAAAUAAAUUUGGGUUGCUUUAUCUGUUGUAUUCCUUAAUUUUCUUCCUUUAUGAAUUCAGAAGAUCCUAAAA
rnacentral:lncRNA from 1 species